rnacentral:rRNA from 1 species
CCUACGGGUGACAGCAGUGGGGAAUAUUGGGCAAUGGGCGCAAGCCUGACCCAGCAACGCCGCGUGAAGGAAGAAGGCUUUCGGGUUGUAAACUUCUUUUCUGAGGGACGAAGAAAGUGACGGUACCUCAGGAAUAAGCCACGGCUAACUACGUGCCAGCAGCCGCGGCCAUACGUAGGUGGCAAGCGUUAUCCGGAUUUAUUGGGGGUAAAGGGCGUGUAGGCGGGAAAGCAAGUCAGAUGUGAAAACUCAGCGCUCAACCCUGAGCCUGCAUUUGAAACUGUUUUUCGUGAGUGCUGGAGAGGCAAUCGGAAUUCCGUGUGUAGCGGGGAAAUGCGUAGAUAUACGGAGGAACACCAGUGGCGAAGGCGGAUUGCUGGACAGUAACUGACGCUGAGGCGCGAAAGCGUGGGGAGCAAACAGGAUUAGAUACCCGUGUAGUC